rnacentral:rRNA from 1 species
GAUGAACGCUAGCGGCAGGCCUAAUACAUGCAAGUCGAACGGUGUCUUCGGACAUAGUGGCGCACGGGUGCGUAACACGUAUGCAACCUACCUUACAUUGGGGGAUAGCCUUUCGAAAGGGAGAUUAAUACCGCAUAAGACAGUAGCUGGGCAUCCAGCAGCUGUUAAAGAUUUAUCGAUGUAAGAUGGGCAUGCGUCCAAUUAGUUAGUUGGCGAGGUAACGGCUCACCAAGACUUUGAUUGGUAGGGGAACUGAGAGGUCAAUCCCCCACACUGGCACUGGGAUACGGGCCAGACUCCUACGGGAGGCAGCAGUAGGGAAUAUUGGGCAAUGGACGCAAGUCUGACCCAGCCAUGCCGCGUGCAGGAUGAAGGCGUUAUGCGUUGUAAACUGCUUUUAUACAGGAAGAAGCGACUCUUGCGAGAGGCAUUGACGGUACUGUAUGAAUAAGCACCGGCUAACUCCGUGCCAGCCGCCGCCGUAAAAC